GCCCAAGUGGCGAAAUAGGUAGACGCGCUAGUUUCAGGUACUAGUGUCCGAAAGGAUGUGCAGGUUCGAGCCCUGUUUUGGGUA
rnacentral:tRNA from 1 species